UACGAAGGGGGCUAGCGUUGCUCGGAAUCACUGGGCGUAAAGCGCACGUAGGCGGCUUCUUAAGUCAGGGGUGAAAUCCUGGAGCUCAACUCCAGAACUGCCUUUGAUACUGAGGAGCUUGAGUCCGGGAGAGGUGAGUGGAACUGCGAGUGUAGAGGUGAAAUUCGUAGAUAUUCGGAAGAACACCAGUGGCGAAGGCGGCUCACUGGUCCGGUACUGACGCUGAGGUGCGAAAGCGUGGGGAGCAAACAGG
rnacentral:rRNA from 1 species